rnacentral:rRNA from 1 species
AAUAGAUACCCAGGUAGUCCACGCCGUAAACGAUGAGUGCUAGGUGGUUAGGGGUUUCGAUACCCUUGGUGCCGAAGUCAACACAGUAAGCACUCCGCCUGGGGAGUACGGUCGCAAGACUGAAACUCAAAGGAAUUGACGGGGACCCGCACAAGCAGUGGAGUAUGUGGUUUAAUUCGAAGCAACGCGAAGAACCUUACCAGGUCUUGACAUCCCUCUGAAUAUCCUAGAGAUAGGGUAGGCCUUCGGGACAGAGGAGACAGGUGGUGCAUGGUUGUCGUCAGCUCGUGUCGUGAGAUGUUGGGUUAAGUCCCGCAACGAGCGCAACCCUUGAUUUUAGUUGCCAGCACUUCGGGUGGGCACUCUAGAAUGACUGCCGGUGACAAACCGGAGGAAGGCGGGGAUGACGUCAAAUCAUCAUGCCCCUUAUGACCUGGGCUACACACGUACUACAAUGGCCGGUACAACGGGAAGCGAAGGGGCGACCGUGGAGCCAAUCCGUUACAAGCCGGUCUCAGUUCGGAUUGCAGG